CAGUUGCACUUGUUAGCAUUUAUUUAUUUAUUUAUUUCGGUUUUUCCGUUCGUCUUUAAAUGUAAUUCGAUCUCCGUUACCACGGUAAUCAAUGUAGGUGAUGUUAGCCCCCACGAUCGUUGGUAACUAUCGUUACUGGUUUAAGACCUGGAGAGAGAAUCUCGCGGAGGUCGCUCAUAUGUUGAAUCCUUCGGGAAGACGGAAAGGGACGGUCAGAGCUAUUGCCGACCGCUAGAGUGAGACGGGAACUCAGAUCUUUAAAGAUCCGAAGAAGCCCGAGGCAAUCUCCGGGAAACGGCGUGCCAAAAGUACGUCUGGGGCCACCUUCCCCGUUCUGAGGAAGCAAGUACUCGUUCACUUUGUCCCAGACCUUUGUGAAGUGUGGAGUGCGCAGACUUUUAUCCCGGGUUCCCCUGUCCAGUCCUGAGAUCUCGACAAGGUUAGGAUCGUGUGUGUGUGAAGAAGUGAACUUUUGUGCGGCCUAGCUAGAGAUCAGCCAAGCAGCACCAGUAGGAGUACGAGCGCGCGUCCACCACCGCCCCGCAUCGAGUGUGGGACAAGUUUUGACCCGGCACACGCUACAUCGCCGGAAGAGACGAGCCGUCAACAUCUCGUCUGGAGGCGGUCCAUCCGCCCACGUGCUGGCCCGGAAAGUUCAUUCCCGGCCCACGCAACAUCAUCGAAGUCAACCGCGCAACCGCAGGUCGAACCGGCAGCGUCGUCCGCGCCGUCCGCGAGCACGCGGUUAAGAUCAACAGCAGCAGCAUCAGCAAGUAACAGGAGCAACAGCAGUAGUCCGGUGAGUCCGUUCUUUUUCAUCGGGUGAAGGGUGACGGCCACGAAAGGCGUCACGAACGUUUUUCCGUUCCGGCUGCGGCCGUAGAGCGGACGCCAUUUUGAUGGACGGCGUCCAUUUUGUUUAAGCGCGUGUUGCCAUGCGCCCGGAGUGUGACGGCCUUUAUUGACACCCCCCACACGUCCACGAAAUAGCACUCUAGUGCCUUUGUCUGCCGCAGUCCGCUUGACUGCCGGUGACGUCAGCGAUCAGCUGUUCCAGCUGACGAGCUGAAGAUUUGAGGUUGAGGAGAGAGCACAAAAGCACGGGGUAACAGAAGAACAAACAGUACAGACAGUAGGGAGAGCAAAAGCACACAGUAGGAAAAUGGUUAGGUAGACGUUGAAGACGAAACAAUGAAUGAAAUACAAAAUGUUAGACUAGUCCAAUAAACGAGCACCUUUUCUGAUUCCCUGCCAACUAAAUUAUGAGUGAUUAUUUUGGAGAUUAAUAAAGUCCCUGCAGUUAAAAUGAGCUCACGUGUUAGUUUUUUUGGUCGAUCCGGAGCGCUGCUUCCGUCACUUUAGGGUCCGUUCCCAGUCCUUUCCUCCCCAAUGCAAAAGUUCUGCGUAUUUCCCAUGCUUCGUGAAGUUCUCUGGUGGCGGGUGUCGGUACUACCCAUGAUGAUUCAUACGGGCACGGGGGGUCCUAUACUGGCGGAUUGCUGAGGAGCUUUUUCGGGAGGCUGAGCUUUCCGUACCGUUCUUGUGGGUCACUUUGGUACGCUGGCCGAUUCGAUCUUGCUUCUUCCCUGGGAAGAAGUUCAACCGAGCACCUCUUCGAGAGUCUCAAACCGGGCAAAUUUAACAUGGCGGGCAGUCUCCCUCACGGGAGUGGCGCAUAAGCUGCACCGUUUGCAACCGAUCGAAUCGCAACGGCGACAUUUUGGCGCCCAACGUAAAAUUCGUUGAAUUUGGAGAUUUUUUCUGAUUUAUGGAGUUGAUUAUGAUGUUCUGGAGAUUAUUAUGAUUGAUUUUUGAUGUUGCACAUGAUUUGGUGCCGAUAUGAUAAAAAAAUGAUGAUUUACUGAUGAUUUUUAUAAGGAAUAUUUAUUUGGAGUACUGAUUAUGUGAAAAAAAUGAUGAUUUGUUUAAGGAAAUAUUAAUUUUGGAGUUCUGAUCAAAAAGAUUCGAAAAAGAGAUUAUUUUGGGAAAUUAUUUCGGAUACUGAGGCCAUUUAGGCAUAUUUAUUUGUGGAAGACACUAUCGGUGUUAUUUAUUUAUUUAUGUGAUUAUUUAUUACAGUAUAUGUGGUAUUUAUUAACUGUCCUGAUUACAGAGUGCUUGUGUCAUCGUAGUAUUUGAUUGCAAGUGUGUCCAGAUUCGUUUUUAGGGAGAUUUGUUACAAAAAUCAAAUUGAUACAAAAUUAAAUAACUAGAGAAAUUAAACAAAUAAAAAAAAAUGAUCAAAUCUUUUCUGAUUUAACGUUAAUCAAAACACAACACAAUAGACGAUUUACACAGCUGAUUGAGGAUUUCUAGAGAUUUUGAUAAGAAAAUAUCAAAUUAGGAUUCAAAACUUUCUCACAAAAGUCACGUUUCUGAUCACGAUUCACUGAUCAACAGCUCAAGUUGGUAGAAUUUAAUCUCGAGUUUAGACCAAGAUGCUAAAUAUGAAAUAUGAUAAAUGUUCAGGCCCAGUCAAGAUUAACGCAAAUUACACGAUCGAGCAGGACUUCGACUUCAUUCUGACGUAAGCGACUUCUAUUGAAUAAGCCUUUCAGAUCUGAAUUUACCACGCGCCUUGAGAGUCACGGUCUGCUUACUAAGAACAGUCGAAUGUCAGCCUAAUCGAAGGAUAGAAGAGAUGAUUUAGUAGAUCUGACUAGGGAAGUUUGCGCUCAUUAGGGGUUAUUGUUGUGAGUAAAGCCUAUCCUCUCGACCAGAAGAUAAAGCGAGUCCACGACGCGAGUUGGGACGAUGACCUACUACACCAAAGAACCCGGAGCUAACGCGUUGAUGGGGAGUCCCCGCUAGAACCCGCAGUCGUUCUAGAUCAAUGGGAAAACGUAAAGCGCGAGUCUGUGAUUGAGGAUGCUCAGACGAUGACCGUGAAUAAGACUCAGAAGUCGAAAGACAAUGUUGAGCAAACACGAGUAAAUCGAGCUGGCAACAACAACCGUCUAAAGGAACGCAAACGACUUUCGAACGAACUAGCAUUCAGUCAGAGAAAAGAAGAUGAGACGUACACAAAGAAGUUGUAGGGAAAAUGG